AGUCGAGAUAAUUUAGAGGAUCAGCCUGAGGGAGGGGAAGAGAUCAGAGGGGACUAGCUGGGACAUCCAACCUUCACCUGGGCCAAAUGUAAAGAAUGAAUGUGUGGUGUGCCCAUUCCUUCUGAAAGUCUCUGUUGUAAUCGAUUCCCUCCUCUUUUCCAGAGCAUAACAAGUGGCAAUUCUCAGAAAGGUACUGUAACUACCACACGUUGGGCUCUCUAACUUCCUUCCUCAUUUUCCUCUUCACUCACAUUUGCCAUAUUUCUUUUUUGUCCCCCCCAGCCCUGCUUCAGGCCCCAGACUAAUCCUGCCCCAAAUCAGUGAAGGUGGCUGGCAUUGGUUUGAAGAGCUUACAGAAAUCUCUUGUGGCUAGUCAGCUUGGAGUUCUGUUUGGAAACCACAGGCCCUAACCAUAGCUGUCAGACUUCAGACACCAGGUGCUGCCCAUUUGUCACUUAGCACUGCUAGGUACUGUGCUUCUGUGGCUGUCUCCUCCACUCACUCUGUGUUGCAGCUGUCUCAUAAGGGCCUGCCUUCCCUGACAUCACUAAAGAGACCAUCUAUAUUCCAGGGACAAACCCAUCCCUGUCUGCCACACUCCCAUUGAAGAUAAAAAUAACAUUAACAACAAAAAAAUAUUUAAUUUACUAUUAUUCAUUUAACCAUUGGACUUUCCAUUCCUGGACAUGGCACAAGGCACACUAUAGCUUAUUCCUUAAAAAGAUCUGAUGAUAACUGUAAACAAAUAUAUUGGGCAUAUUAUCAUUGGCAUAAAAACUAAUAUCCAGUCUACCCAGUACAAGCUUAGGAGAGAGGGAAAAGCAGAACACCUUCCUUUGUUACCACUCCUGUUCCAGGUCCAGGAACAGUACUAAAGCCACAAGGAAGGAGGUUGGCAGAAACCAAGGCAUUGUCAUAAGAAAGUUUUAAGUAGAGACCCUAACUUUAUCCUUUGGCAGAAUCUCUUCCUGUGCAGAAUCUGGCCCAUUUGUAUAGUGUUCUUGUCCUUCCUGAGUCUGAUCUGUAUCUGUUUUAUGUUUUCCAGCCACCAGAGGAUUAAAGUAAAUUUGGAAGAAUUCUAAAUAAUUUCCCUCCACCCCCCACGUUAGCUUCAUGUUAAUAUGAACCUAUGAUGUUGAAAAGAAGUUUUUUUUUUUUAUUAUCUGAGGACAGCAGUCAUCCAUACUCUCUUACCACUGACUACCUGUGAAUUAAUUAUCAUCAAAUAUUCAUCUGCCCAGGGGUUCCAUUUCCCACCACUCUGACAUUCUCUGGACUCCAAAGCUCAUGCCUGGUGGCCACAGACUCAAUGAUGACCCUCAAUGAUCCCUGCUUCUUGAUGUUCACACUUUGAGUGUGGACAAGUCUAAUGACCUGCUUCUAACCAACAUUAUGAUGUUAAUUAUUCAUACUGCAUGAUUGAAGAUUUUGGAGUCAGAGAUUCACCUGCAAUAUUUGGAAUACCAGUGGAGGUCUACAUCAACACAGAAUUUAUACAGCAGCUGGUGCUAGUCAAAGCUAAUGAUGGAAUUUCAGUUUAAUAAAAAGACCCCCAACUGAGCACACCAUCUUGAAAAAAGUAUACUUAUCAAACAGCUUUCAAUCAGUUCAAGAGAGACACCUUAAUUGGGAAGAGGAAGAAUUGCAGAGCAGUUUGUCAUCGUGCCAAUUCCAGAUCAAUAACUGCAAGUCUGUUCUUUGAUAGACAUAGCUUUUGCUUUAUAUUAAGUAACCACGUCUACAUCCUCUCCAUUUGGAUAAGGAGAUUUUUGUUUCAUUUUAUAAUGUGUAAUGAUAUCCUCUUUUAAUUUACCUCUGUGGCAUCACAAUAAACAUGAUCAAAAUUUAA